CUACAGGCUUAACACAUGCAAGUCGAGGGGCAGCAUGGUCUUAGCUUGCUAAGGCCGAUGGCGACCGGCGCACGGGUGAGUAACACGUAUCCAACCUGCCGUCUACUCUUGGACAGCCUUCUGAAAGGAAGAUUAAUACAAGAUGGCAUCAUGAGUCCACAUGUUCACAUGAUUAAAGGUAUUCCGGUAGACGAUGGGGAUGCGUUCCAUUAGAUAGUAGGCGGGGUAACGGCCCACCUAGUCUUCGAUGGAUAGGGGUUCUGAGAGGAAGGUCCCCCACAUUGGAACUGAGACACGGUCCAAACUCCUACGGGAGGCAGCAGUGAGGAAUAUUGGUCAAUGGGCGAGAGCCUGAACCAGCCAAGUAGCGUGAAGGAUGACUGCCCUAUGGGUUGUAAACUUCUUUUAUAAAGGAAUAAAGUCGGGUAUGGAUACCCGUUUGCAUGUACUUUAUGAAUAAGGAUCGGCUAACUCCGUGCCAGCAGCCGCGGUAAUACGGAGGAUCCGAGCGUUAUCCGGAUUUAUUGGGUUUAAAGGGAGCGUAGAUGGAUGUUUAAGUCAGUUGUGAAAGUUUGCGGCUCAACCGUAAAAUUGCAGUUGAUACUGGAUAUCUUGAGUGCAGUUGAGGCAGGCGGAAUUCGUGGUGUAGCGGUGAAAUGCUUAGAUAUCACGAAGAACUCCGAUUGCGAAGGCAGCCUGCUAAGCUGCAACUGACAUUGAGGCUCGAAAGUGUGGGUAUCAAACAGGAUUAGAUACCCUGGUAGUCCACACGGUAAACGAUGAAUACUCGCUGUUUGCGAUAUACGGCAAGCGGCCAAGCGAAAGCGUUAAGUAUUCCACCUGGGGAGCACGCCGGCAACGGUGAAACUCAAAGGAAUUGACGGGGGCCCGCACAAGCGGAGGAACAUGUGGUUUAAUUCGAUGAUACGCGAGGAACCUUACCCGGGCUUAAAUUGCAGAUGAAUUACGGUGAAAGCCGUAAGCCGCAAGGCAUCUGUGAAGGUGCUGCAUGGUUGUCGUCAGCUCGUGCCGUGAGGUGUCGGCUUAAGUGCCAUAACGAGCGCAACCCUUGUUGUCAGUUACUAACAGGUUCUGCUGAGGACUCUGACAAGACUGCCAUCGUAAGAUGUGAGGAAGGUGGGGAUGACGUCAAAUCAGCACGGCCCUUACGUCCGGGGCUACACACGUGUUACAAUGGGGGGUACAGAGGGCCGCUACCACGCGAGUGGAUGCCAAUCCCAAAAACCUCUCUCAGUUCGGACUGGAGUCUGCAACCCGACUCCACGAAGCUGGAUUCGCUAGUAAUCGCGCAUCAGCCACGGCGCGGUGAAUACGUUCCCGGGCCUUGUACACACCGCCCGUCAAGCCAUGGGAGCCGGGGGUACCUGAAGUGCGUAACCGCGAGGAGCGCCCUAGGGUAAAACUGGUGACUGGGGCUAAGUCAUAACA
rnacentral:rRNA from 1 species